rnacentral:rRNA from 1 species
ACACAUGCAGUCGAACGGGAAUUCCGCUCCGGCGGGAGAGUAAAGUGGCGAACGGGUGAGUAACACAAGGGUAAUCUGCCCUUAAAUUAGGGAUAACCUUGCGAAAGCGAAGCUAAUACCUGAUAAGACUACGACCUCUUAGGGGGUUGUAGGAAAAGAUGGCCUCUGUUUCAAGCUAUCGUUUAAGGAUGAGCCCUUGCACUAUUAGCUUGUUGGUGGGGUAACGGCCUACCAAGGCUACGAUGGUUAGUUGGUCUGAGAGGAUGACCAGCCACACUGGAACUGAGACACGGUCCAGACUCCUACGGGAGGCAGCAGUGAGGAAUAUUGCGCAAUGGGGGAAACCCUGACGCAGUGACGCCGCGUGAGUGAUGAAGGCUUUCGAGUCGUAAAGCUCUGUUAGGUGGAAAGAAACAUUCCAGUGCCAAUACCACUGGAACUUGACGGUACCACCAGAGGAAGCACCGGCUAACUCCGUGCCAGCAGCCGCGGUAAUACGGGGGGUGCAAGCGUUACUCGGAUUUACUGGGCGUAAAGGGCGCGCAGGCGGUUUGGAAAGUCAGAUGUGAAAGCCCGGGGCUCAACCCCGGAAGUGCAUCUGAAACUGCCAAACUUGAGUAUGGGAGAGGGAAGUGGAAUUCCUGGUGUAGCGGUGAAAUGCGUAGAUAUCAGGAGGAACACCGGUGGCGAAGGCGACUUCCUGGACCAAUACUGACGCUGAGAUGCGAAAGCGUGGGGAGCAAACAGGAUUAGAUACCCUGGUAGUCCACGCCGUAAACGAUGGGUAC